rnacentral:misc_RNA from 1 species
CCGAGUUAUCCAACUCCCAACCCCUGUGAACUAUACCUAUACUGUUGCCUCGGCGGAUCAGCCCCCUUACGGACGGCCCGCCGCAGGACCCAUAACCUCUGAAUUUUUAAUUAAGUAUCUUCUGAGUGGUUAAAAACAAUGAAUCA